UCCCAGACUCCUACGGGAGGCAGCAGUGGGGAAUAUUGCGCAAUGGGCGAAAGCCUGACGCAGCGACGCCGCGUGGGUGAAGGAGCGUUUCGGCGCGUAAAGCCCUCUCGGCAGGGAAGAAGGAGGACGGUACCUGACUAAGAAGCCCCGGCUAACUACGUGCCAGCAGCCGCGGUAAUACGUAGGGGGCAAGCGUUAUCCGGAUUUACUGGGUGUAAAGGGAGCGUAGACGGCAUGGCAAGUCAGAUGUGAAAGCCCGGGGCUCAACCCCGGGACUGCAUUUGAAACUGUCAGGCUGGAGUGCAGGAGAGGUAAGUGGAAUUCCUAGUGUAGCGGUGAAAUGCGUGGAUAUUAGGAGGAACACCAGUGGCGAAGGCGGCGUACUGGACUGUAACUGACGUUGAGGCUCGAAAGCGUGGGGAGCAAACAGGAUUAGAUACCCGAGUAUAU
rnacentral:rRNA from 1 species